AUGUUUUGGCAGCACAUUUUUUAAAAUUGGAAAGAUACGGAGAUUAUCAUGCCUCCCCUGCACAGGCAUGUCACAAAAAAUUGAAUGGCGUUCCCUGUUUCU
rnacentral:snRNA from 1 species